rnacentral:tRNA from 1 species
GCCUGGGUGGCUCAGUCAGUUCAGCAUCUGACUUCAGCUCAAGUAAUGCUCUCAUGGCUCGUGAGUUCGAGCCCCGCCUCAGGCU